rnacentral:rRNA from 1 species
AUCUGAACCUUCGGGGAACGAUAACGGCGUCGAGCGGCGGACGGGUGAGUAAUGCCUAGGAAAUUGCCCUGAUGUGGGGGAUAACCAUUGGAAACGAUGGCUAAUACCGCAUGAUGCCUACGGGCCAAAGAGGGGGACCUUCGGGCCUCUCGCGUCAGGAUAUGCCUAGGUGGGAUUAGCUAGUUGGUGAGGUAAGGGCUCACCAAGGCGACGAUCCCUAGCUGGUCUGAGAGGAUGAUCAGCCACACUGGAACUGAGACACGGUCCAGACUCCUACGGGAGGCAGCAGUGGGGAAUAUUGCACAAUGGGCGCAAGCCUGAUGCAGCCAUGCCGCGUGUGUGAAGAAGGCCUUCGGGUUGUAAAGCACUUUCAGUCGUGAGGAAGGUAGUGUAGUUAAUAGCUGCAUUAUUUGACGUUAGCGACAGAAGAAGCACCGGCUAACUCCGUGCCAGCAGCCGCGGUAAUACGGAGGGUGCGAGCGUUAAUCGGAAUUACUGGGCGUAAAGCGCAUGCAGGUGGUUUGUUAAGUCAGAUGUGAAAGCCCGGGGCUCAACCUCGGAAUAGCAUUUGAAACUGGCAGACUAGAGUACUGUAGAGGGGGGUAGAAUUUCAGGUGUAGCGGUGAAAUGCGUAGAGAUCUGAAGGAAUACCGGUGGCGAAGGCGGCCCCCUGGACAGAUACUGACACUCAGAUGCGAAAGCGUGGGGAGCAAACAGGAUUAGAUACCCUGGUAGUCCACGCCGUAAACGAUGUCUACUUGGAGGUUGUGGCCUUGAGCCGUGGCUUUCGGAGCUAACGCGUUAAGUAGACCGCCUGGGGAGUACGGUCGCAAGAUUAAAACUCAAAUGAAUUGACGGGGGCCCGCACAAGCGGUGGAGCAUGUGGUUUAAUUCGAUGCAACGCGAAGAACCUUACCUACUCUUGACAUCCAGAGAACUUUCCAGAGAUGGAUUGGUGCCUUCGGGAACUCUGAGACAGGUGCUGCAUGGCUGUCGUCAGCUCGUGUUGUGAAAUGUUGGGUUAAGUCCCGCAACGAGCGCAACCCUUAUCCUUGUUUGCCAGCGAGUAAUGUCGGGAACUCCAGGGAGACUGCCGGUGAUAAACCGGAGGAAGGUGGGGACGACGUCAAGUCAUCAUGGCCCUUACGAGUAGGGCUACACACGUGCUACAAUGGCGCAUACAGAGGGCGGCCAACUUGCGAAAGUGAGCGAAUCCCAAAAAGUGCGUCGUAGUCCGGAUUGGAGUCUGCAACUCGACUCCAUGAAGUCGGAAUCGCUAGUAAUCGUGGAUCAGAAUGCCACGGUGAAUACGUUCCCGGGCCUUGUACACACCGCCCGUCACACCAUGGGAGUGGGCUGCAAAAGAAGU